AGGGAUGCUCCAUAACCGGCCCAAGCCACGGCUGAGAGAGAGUGGGCCAGACAUCUAUAAAGGAUGAUGAUGAAAGCCAGCCCAGCCCCUGUGACGCCCUUGGUUUUCAUCCAUGGCGUUAAAGCAAGAUAAAGACCUCGCAUGGGAAUAAAGUCUUCUGGGCUUGUAAGGGGAAGGAUGAUAAAUUACACUGUGGAAAAUGGCGCCAGUGACUCACAGCUGGAGGAACACUUGCUGUUUAAAUGAUGGACUGGUUGAGUAAAUGAAAAGCAAGUCUGCACUAGUAUUUGGAAUGGAUGCCACUGUGGGUGUCAGGAGGAAGUGAAGCCACUUUCUCCUGUUCGGAAUGAAGAGCAAACAGACCUUAACAUCUGUGUGUGCUCCACCGUGGUGCUGGCUUUUAAUAUGGCACACUAAGGGAAGAGGAAUGGACACACACCAGGGCACAGCCACCCCGCCCCACGCACCUGCUGCCAGUGGAACACAGCUUCGGCACAUGCUGUGCUGGGAUGAUCUAGAAGGGCUCAAGAGGCUCCCAUCUCCCAAACUGAAGACCUGGCCCCUUUCCUUCAAGUUUACAGUGGCUGAUGCAGCUGAGCGAGGAGCAGCUCUGGGGCCUGGGAGGGGAACUUCUCACUACAGGCAACACCGGCUCCCCACUGCUGAAGAAGCUGGAAAUGGAUCUCUGUGGUUUUGAGCCAUUGCAGUUUCAAGUCUGCUGAUGACAGUGGCUGAGCCUACACUAACACACACACAAUUCUGCCAACAACAAUAGCUCUGGGACAUAACUACAGACUGCCUUUUACUGAGACAUAUGUGAGGUGUGUGUGCCUGCAAUAGCUUCACCUACAUUCUAAGGCCUGGAAGAGCAGGGCUGUGAUUUGUGCUUCAGUAUUUAGGACAGCAUUUGCCUUUUCCCCUAGUUUAGUUAUGGAAGCAUUUGCGUAAGUCCUGGGUUCCUUCUUCCUUAAAUGUUUGAAAGGAUUCACUGGAAAACCCUUUCUGGCCUGAAUUUGUGUGUGUGAAGGUUUUCAAUCGAGUAUUUAAUUUCUCUAAUGCUUGUUACAAGUGAUCUGUUUGUCUGAUUAUUCUACGUCAUUCUAAAGCACAAUCUUUAAA
rnacentral:lncRNA from 1 species